rnacentral:lncRNA from 1 species
AAACCACCAUAACUGAGGUAGAGGAGAUGACGAAACACAAUUCCAGACUCCAACUCAUUGUAGCAGUCAGCUACAGUGGGAAAUAUGAUGUUCUACAGGCCUGCAGAAGCAUUGCCCAGAAAGUCAAAAGAAGGCUUUUAUCCAACUUGAUGACAUUAAUGAGCAACUGAUUGAGCAAGAACUAGAAACAAAUUGUACCGAAUUCCCUUACCCAGAUCUGCUAAUUAGAACCAGUGGAGAACUUAGGGUCAGUAACUUCUUACUGUGGCAAUUGGCUUACACAGAACUCUACUUUGCACCAGACCUAUGG